rnacentral:rRNA from 1 species
AGCAGCCGCGGUAAUUCCAGCUCCAAUAGCGUAUAUUAAAGUUGUUGCAGUUAAAAAGCUCGUAGUUGAAUUUCGGGGUUAGUAGGUUGGUCAUGCCUCUGGUAUGUACUGGUCUCACUGAUUCCUCCUUCCUGAUGAACCUUAAUGCCAUUAAUUUGGUGUUGCGGGGAAUUUGGACUGUUACUUUGAAAAAAUUAGAGUGUUUAAAGCAAGCUAACGCUUGAAUACAUUAGCAUGGAAUAAUGAAAUAGGACGUUCGAUCCUAUUUUGUUGGUUUCUAGGAUUGACGUAAUGAUUAAUAGGGAUAGUUGGGGGCAUUAGUAUUCAAUUGUCAGAGGUGAAAUUCUUGGAUUUAUUGAAGACUAACUACUGCGAAAGCAUUUGCCAAGGAUGUUUUCAUUAAUCAAGAACGAAAGUUAGGGGAUCGAAGACGAUCAGAUACCGUCGUAGUCUUAACCAUAAACUAUGCCGACUAGGGAUCGGAUGAUGUUAAUUUUUUAAUGACUCAUUCGGCGCCUUACG